rnacentral:rRNA from 1 species
UCCUGGCUCAGAUUGAACGCUGGCGGCAUGCCUUACACAUGCAAGUCGAACGGCAGCACGGGGGCAACCCUGGUGGCGAGUGGCGAACGGGUGAGUAAUACAUCGGAACGUGUCCUGUAGUGGGGGAUAGCCCGGCGAAAGCCGGAUUAAUACCGCAUACGCUCUACGGAGGAAAGGGGGGGAUCUUAGGACCUCUCGCUACAGGGGCGGCCGAUGGCAGAUUAGCUAGUUGGUGGGGUAAAGGCCUACCAAGGCGACGAUCUGUAGCUGGUCUGAGAGGACGACCAGCCACACUGGGACUGAGACACGGCCCAGACUCCUACGGGAGGCAGCAGUGGGGAAUUUUGGACAAUGGGCGCAAGCCUGAUCCAGCAAUGCCGCGUGUGUGAAGAAGGCCUUCGGGUUGUAAAGCACUUUUGUCCGGAAAGAAAACGCUCUGGUUAAUACCCGGGGCGGAUGACGGUACCGGAAGAAUAAGCA